UGCAGGGUACUUGGAAAGCACCCAGCACGCGGACAGCUUCGUCUGUGAAUGCCUUUUUUUUUACAGGAUAAUCUGGUUCUGCGAUAGCACAGGGGAGUUUUGGCUGAUACAGUGACAUCAGGCUCAGCGCUCCUACCCCACACAAAGAAGAGUUCAUUCUGCUGGGGGUUGCCCUUCUCUUCCCAGCCCUUCCACCCCUGCACCUUUGGCUGCUGGAUGAUGCUCUUGUCAGCCCAGUGAAAAUUCUUGUGCAAUCCUGACAAAUGAACACCACAAGAAGUUGGAUCUGGAAAGACCAUCAGCCCUCAUGGGUUUAGGAACAUCUGUGAAUUUAGCAUGAAGGCACUUUGAGACAGAAACCAGCUGAGAGCUUCAGCUGUUAUCGCCUGCCUUCACACACUCCGAGGCCAGAUGGCUGAAGAGAAGGCGUUCAGCCACCAGUCGGUGGGCACUACAGGACUUUCCCAUCAAUCCAGAGAAAGACAAUUCAUUUUUCCCUUUCUGGUAUCAUUCAGACUGCUGUGUGAUGGGAGACUCAAGGGUAACCAACAGCUAAUCCUUGCAGAGCUGGCAGCUCUGGGCAGUAGUCAUAGCUGGAGGGAGGAUACCAAAGACUUUAUGGGGAAAAUUCCCUCUGAUUGCAAAGGGCCAGAGUAAGUGGGGAGAGGUUACUUCUUAUUUUGGGGUAGUCCCUUGGGAUAGUCCAGAUGUGCUCCAUCAUGUCUGGUGGGGCACAUCAAGUGAACAAAUAGUCUUUCAAGUGGAACCUUUGUCCUCCAAGGUAACUUUAAUGGGUUUUCACUAUUCCAUUAUUUCCCAUUGGUGGGUUUCCAUAUGGUUGCUGAAGAUCAUCAGGGAGUUGCACCAUCUGAAAGGGUAUUGUACCAAAGGUUCAACAUGUAGACCCAUAUUCAAGCCUGGAAGACUAAGAAACCAGACUCAUAGGUACAUGUGGCAAACAUAAGUGAGAUGGACAUGACUUAACACUUUGCCAAUAAAAAAGAAAACCCCCCAUCAGCAUUAUGACUUACCAUCUUUCAUAAUGCAAUGAAACUGGAAGAUAAAUAGGGAACUUAGAAACCUCUAAUAGCUUUUAAAGAACGUGGUAUAGCUGCAGUCAAACAAAUGUGCCCGGGUUUUGAUGUUCUAAUAUAUUUUGUCAUUUCUUUUCUGGAAGAGAAAGGAGAAAGCAAUGAAAAUUAGGUUUUGUUUUCCAUUGUUUGUCCCAGCUCCAGCAGUAUGUGCAGAAGAUUGGGUACAUUGAGAUAGCCCUUGAAUAAUGUUGCGAAGGUGGACAGAGAUUAAGAAGAAAAGCAUCCAGUUUGGAGUCAGACAGUAUAAAGAAAUGAAAAUAAAAUUCAGGUCGAAAUGCACUUGA
rnacentral:lncRNA from 1 species